rnacentral:rRNA from 1 species
GGGGGAUAUUGCACAAUGGGCGAAAGCCUGAUGCAGCGACGCCGCGUGAGGGAAGACGGCCUUCGGAUUGUAAACCUCUGUCUUCAGGGACGAAAAAUGACGGUACCUGAGGAGGAAGCUCCGGCUAACUACGUGCCAGCAGCCGCGGUAAUACGUAGGGAGCGAGCGUUGUCCGGAAUUACUGGGUGUAAAGGGAGCGUAGGCGGGAUCGCAAGUCAGAUGUGAAAACUAUGGGCUUAACCCAUAAACUGCAUUUGAAACUGUGGUUCUUGAGUGAAGUAGAGGUAAGCGGAAUUCCUAGUGUAGCGGUGAAAUGCGUAGAUAUUAGGAGGAACAUCAGUGGCGAAGGCGGCUUACUGGGCUUUAACUGACGCUGAGGCUCGAAAGCGUGGGGAGCAAACAGGAUUAGAUACCCUGGUAGUCCACGCCGUAAACGAUGAUUACUAGGUGUGGGGGGACUGACCCCUUCCGUGCCGCAGCAAACGCAAUAAGUAAUCCACCUGGGGAGUACGACCGCAAGGUUGAAACUCAAAGGAAUUGACGGGAACCCGCACAAGCGGUGGAGCAUGUGGUUUAAUUCGAAGCAACGCGAAGAACCUUACCAAGUCUUGACAUCCCGUUGACCUGUUAUGUAAUGUAACAUCUCUUCGGAGCAACGGAGACAGGUGGUGCAUGGUUGUCGUCAGCUCGUGUCGUGAGAUGUUGGGUUAAGUCCCGCAACGAGCGCAACCCUUGUCCUUAGUAGCCAGCAGUAAGAUGGGCACUCUAGGGAGACUGCCGGGGAUAACUCGGAGGAAGGUGGGGACGACGUCAAAUCAUCAUGCCCCUUAUGACUUGGGCUACACACGUGCUACAAUGGCGUAAACAAAGGGAAGCAAACCUGUGAAGGCAAGCAAAUCCCAAAAAUAACGUCUCAGUUCGGAUUGUAGUCUGCAACUCGACUACAUGAAGCUGGAAUCGCUAGUAAUCGCAGAUCAGAAUGCUGCGGUGAAUACGUUCCCG